UUGAAGUAGGCUGGAAAAUGUGGCAAACGUUGUCAAAGGAUCUUGUUUGUCAAAAAACUCACUUUAUGCUUUAGCUACGCUGUUUGCUGCUCACGGGGUACACGUGAGGAUGGUCUGUUUGGUUAUUUUGUCAAAAACAAGUGUCCAUUCUGAGAGUAAUAGUUUCUCGUUUGAGUUAAUCUGAAGGGUUUCAAAUCUUUUACGCCGGCGUAGGGCUUCUUAUUUUUUGGAAUUUUUUUAAUUUAAAUAAGUACCUUUCUAAAUAUUAAAUUUUACAUGGA
rnacentral:lncRNA from 1 species